GUGCUCACUUGGGCAGCACAUAUACUAAAACUGGAAUGAUACUGAGAAGAUUAGCAUGGCCCCUGCACAAGGAUGACACGCAAAUUUGUGAACUGUUUCAUAUAUAC